rnacentral:lncRNA from 1 species
UUUUUUUUUUGGAGGUAGGGGGAGAAUCCCAGAAAUACCAGAGCACAGAAUAGCAGAUUUAUGAAGGACCAGUUCUCUGGAGAUAAUGUCACAUUUAUCCCAAUAAUCUUUAGAUGUUUAUACCUUAAAAGUUACUCAGCUGAAGUUGCUUUCAAAUUAAACACCAUUGCUGCAGUGUUUCUGUUGUGAUUGUCGGAGGGAAGUGGAGCCAGUGCAAUUUGUCCAUGUUUUACAAAUCACCAUCUGGCAGGGAUAUGGCAACAUGUGAAAUCUUCACAGGACUCUUGUUUUUCUACUAUCUGCUGGAUAACUAAGGAGAUCACCAGACUGCUGGGACGCCUGCCAGAUAGUAAGCAGGACUAUGGACUGUGUGUUGAAACUUCCAAUGUUUGAAGAUCUGCUUCUUUGCCCUCUGAACUCUGAGCAAGGAACCUUUCCAAACAGUGUGAACUCAUUGGCUUCCCCAUAACUCUACAGAGCUCGCGCUGCCAUAUAACUGGGAAUCAGAGAGGUGAGGU